CAGCCGCCACGGGAAUACGAAGGGGGCUAGCGUUGUUCGGAUUUACUGGGCGUAAAGCGCACGUAGGCGGACUUUUAAGUCAGGGGUGAAAUCCCGGGGCUCAACCCCGGAACUGCCUUUGAUACUGGAAGUCUUGAGUAUGGUAGAGGUGAGUGGAAUUCCGAGUGUAGAGGUGAAAUUCGUAGAUAUUUGGAGGAACACCAGUGGCGAAGGCGGCUCACUGGACCAUUACUGACGCUGAGGUGCGAAAGCGUGGGGAGCAAACAGGAUUAGAUACCCCAGUAGUCCCUGUCUCUUAUAC
rnacentral:rRNA from 1 species